GUAAUUGUUUUCUCUGGAAAACACCAGCUCAACAAAGAUGACAUCAUUUUGCAAUCAGAGGGCAGAGUCCACCUUGCUGAUCAUAGGAGAGAUGAAGGGUUGAUUGGAGUAUCCUUAAAAAAUCAGAGUACAGCUGAUGUAAAGAACUAUUCUUUGGAAAUUGAAUUAAGAGCCUUUGAAGAUAUUUGGCUAGGGCUGACAGGAACUGCUACUUCCUCAUCCGUUCAGAGCCAAAUCCUGGUGGAGGGGAUUAUUGAACAGAAAGAGAAAGUAAAAUUAGCUGCUUCUAAAGGAAAAGAGUGUUUUCAGUACUACAUGGGGUAUUUGAAAGGUACGUACCUCCACAGACAACACUUUUAUGUCAUAUGAUUUAGUUUUAGGUUGUCCUGCAAGGAGCAGGGGGUUGGACUUGAUGAUCCUUAUGGGUCCCUCCCACCUUGGGAUAUUCUAGGGAUUCUAUGAUUCACAGCUGUCAUUGGUAUGAAAAGGCAGGAAGAAAGGCUGUGUCUCUCUAGUACCAAGCUAGCUGAGUUUCAUGGCGAUUCAAGCUAUGGUCUUUCAGAUAAUGAAAAGCUGAAGCUUAACACUUGUUACAAAAAGGUCAGUUUGGGAGACAUUUUUAUGCUUACUAGCCAGGCAAGGAUUAUAAUGGAUGGUGAUUGAAGAUAGGCUUCAUAUCAUCUUGAUUUAGCCAUCUUAAAGUUGUGUGCCUCCUUUAAGAUAAUAAUUACAUUACAAUUUCAAUGAAGGGAAAGAGAAAAGCACCUCCAGAGGCUGACUCUACCCCAUGCUCAAACAGAUGUAUGAAACAGGACAUAUGAAAUCACCCUCUGCAGGUGAUUCUCUCAGCAGCAGUCAGUUCUGACUGACAACAGAGAGGAAACAGGGGUGUUGGCUGACUGUACCUAACUUUUAGAUGACUAAAGUUCAAUGCAAUGAGACCUGCUGCAAGUGCUUUCUGUUGUGACUCAUCCACCUUUCAACUACAUUAGAUUUGUAUGCAAACCAGGUAGAUGUGGUGGUAUGACAGUUGUCUCAAACUCAUGUUGCUGACAAUCCCAGUCCAAGUUUCAGUUGCGGAUUUGCCAUUCCACACUUCUGCAGUGGAAUUUCUCUCAGGUUCAUGGCCUCACUUGUAAGUGCUGUGAUGUAUUUUGAGAUUAAGACCAUUAGUUUGUGAAUUACUGAAGUCAGAAGUUUGUAGAAAUUAUUCAACUCAACUGUCCUAACCCAGAUUCUACAUGUACUUUGCCAACCAUUUCUGCUUAUGCUUGUCAGAACUUGGGCAGAAACAACUUAUGUGUGUGAUGGGUGGAUGAGUGACUGACACUUUCUUUUAUAGUCUAAGCAGUUGUGAAACAUCAGCAACAAAGGACAGUGGAAGACUAAAGUAGCAAAAAAUCUGUAAAUCACUAGGACUGAGAGAAUUAUUUAGAUUUAUAUUAAUGCAGUGCUUUCUUUGCAGUAGCAAAUCCGUAUUUGUAAUCAUUCACAAGCCACACAAAGAGAAAAAAAUCAAACACUGACACUGAUCUAAUUUUCUCCUGUUUAUUUCCUCUUGGUUUUUUUUCCACAAACACCUAACACUGAUUGAUCACCUAAUUAGAAAGCUGGCUUUGAAACAGUGUCUGUCAGUGUUGUUCCUGUAAAUGAAGCUCUUUCUUUAAUUCUCUAAGGGGAUACGGAAGAAGGAGUGGAAGUCAGUGCUUGUACUGAUGGGCAACAGAUGGCUACCAUUAAUACCUAUCUCAACAUUAAUGGUGAAAGGGAAGAGAACAUGGGACAAAUGACCCUCGCAGCUGUUAAUGGAAGCUUGAGUCUUCGGGCUCAUGGAUGUGGGGAUCCAGUUCUUAAGGCUGAGGUGAGACCCUUCAGUGGCACUUAACUGCAGUGUGAUUUUUCCAGAACAUUGUUUAAUCUUGUCAGUGUGAUGGAGCAUCUUCCAGGUAGGCUUCAGGUGUGAGUUUUGGCAAGUAACCAGGCAAAAGGGGGAAUUACUCAGUUUUUAAAUUCAUAGUAACAUUAUUUUUAACUUUGGUGUGAAAAGAUGCCAUGGUGAGAAUUAAAAAGUUCAGCAAUACGUAGAAAGCAUAGAAAAUAUGGGACCCUGUCCUAAAGCAUGUAUCCUGCAAAGAGGGCAAGUAAAUAAAGCGAGAGCAGCAGUAGUGCACCAGGGCUGCUGCUCAGCAUGUUGGUCACAAAACUAAGAUUAGAAAUCCUGAACGUGCUUUUACUUCUAAUAGGGUUUCACAUACUCUCUGCUUGGAGGAUGCUUUUUGGUUUUUCAUCCUUAGACUCUUCUGUUGCCACUUCUAACCACUGAAUAAUGCAGAAGUCAUUUCCCCUGAAAAACGGGAGGCCACUGUGGAUCUUUGCUGGCAUUUAAACUAGUACAAACUUUGAGUGAUUUGGACCCAGCACAAGCAAUUCUAAAUCAUAAAUUCAAGGUUUUUAUUAAUUUGGACCCAGCACAAGCAAUUCUAAAUCAUAAAUUCAAGGUUUUUAUUAAUCUUCUCACAGUACAAACUUAAUGAAAUUGGGAGCCUUCUGAAAGCCAAACUGAUGGAGAAGAUUAAGAAGUUUGAUGGAUAUAUGUGGAGAUUCAGGAGAUCAGUAAGUAUCUGUACAUCAUCUGUGAAAGCACCAUAAAACGUUCAUGCAGUGUUCAUUAAAAAUAUUGUGUGCAGUUAUUUUGUUUUGCUCAAACAUUUAAAUGGUUAAUCUUGUGCUAACCUGCAAUUCAUACAUAGACAAAAAGCAUGUUUCACGGUAAAGAUCCUGUAUCUCUGCACCAACACUGAGGAGUUCAGAAUUGCCUUGGAAUGGAGUCAAAGCUUUGCUUGUGAUCACUGUGUAUUUUGAUAUUUCUUCUUUUUUCGGAACCACUGUAGGUGCAGCAAGUUGAUUUUCUGUCUGAAGCAGCUGCCUGGCCUUCGAUAGCCUUACAAAAGGUGGCAGGAUUCCUCCACAGUGUGGGUAGAGCUGUUGCCCAGGUGUGGAAGCAAAGUGGAAUCAGGCAGAUUCUGAGAAGCAAGCUCCCACUUUACCUGGAUAAAAUUCAAGACAUUGUCCAGGAAAUGCAGAAUGAAUUGCAAAGUAAGCAAAACCAUGCAAAGCAAGGAGAACAAGAGUAGUGUCAGUGCAGGGCAAAAGAAACUUGAGUAUAAAAGAUGCUGAACAGCACAAAUGUUUCUAUUUUGAUCUAGCAAAAAGUGCUGACCUUGGCUCUUAGUUUACAGAGUGGGAGCCUUGAUGCAAUAAGCUCUAAGUAAUUGCAGUGUGACCACCUUUCUAAUGAAAUCAUUGAAGAGGCGUUCUCUUGCACACAGGAGUCUGGGUUCAAUUGGAUGAGAACAGAGACCCAAUUCCUAAGCUGAAGCAUUUCCUCCCAAAGGGCUGUUCACACCUGUCCUUGAGUUUCGAAUGCUUGUAAUAAUCAGAUUUCACUUGAUCCAUUUUUUCCAAGUCUAUCCAGUAGCCACUAAUUCACUCUCAGCUGGACUAUGGCUCAUACUGAAACCAUUGACAAUGUGGUCAGCUGUAAUUAGCUGAGAGAACCUUCAGUUCUUACAAGAUUAAAACCUCACUUUGGGCCACUUACCUCUUGACUCUUCCCACUCAAAAGUGGGAUUUAGUUGAUAUACUGUGUUUGAAAUUAGUUGUGACCAAACUGUUCUGUUAUUCCUUGAGCGGGUACAGGUUGAGCUGUACAGCUUUGAUGGUGGCAUAUUGCAAAACAUUCUUUGUAUUUGUUUUGGAAAGCAGCAAUGUAUUUAUAUUAUAAGGCAUAUGUGCGGAUCAGGUUAUAACUAAAAUACUUCUUUUCACUUUUUCAUAAGACUGUGUCCAUGCACACAGCUGUGAGGUGUCCCUAACUGCCAUAAAAACUAAGCUGCCUUUUCCUGUUUUCUGUGUCCCUCCUUCGCUUAUGCUGGAAGCUGUGGGGAAACAAACAAACAAACAGCCACUUUGUAACAUACUAGCUAAGGUUUGUUUCAUGUAUUGUGUUUGCUUCAGAGCCAUUAGCAACUUUAAAGGAUGCCUACUAUGAUGUAACCUUGAAGCCAUUGGAUGAAGUUUGGCAAGAGAAGACAGAAGAGUACAUGAAGAAAAUCCAGGCUUUUUUACCCAAGAUUGUAAAAGAUGUGUGGCUAAUGGAACCAAUUCAGGUGGCAUUAAAGGUUGUGAAAGCGGGCUUGGAUAUGGUUUGUAUUAAUUUGUAUUAAUUCUCCAUUUUUAAUGGUUUGAAAGACAAAGCCUACAAAUUUAAGUCUCAGCUUUGAACUACG
ensembl:lncRNA